rnacentral:rRNA from 1 species
GAUGAACGCUAGCUACAGGCUUAACACAUGCAAGUCGAGGGGCAGCAUGAACUUAGCUUGCUAAGUUUGAUGGCGACCGGCGCACGGGUGAGUAACACGUAUCCAACCUGCCGAUGACUCGGGGAUAGCCUUUCGAAAGAAAGAUUAAUACCCGAUGGCAUAGUUCUUCCGCAUGGUAGAACUAUUAAAGGAUUUCGGUCAUCGAUGGGGAUGCGUUCCAUUAGGUUGUUGGCGGGGUAACGGCCCACCAAGCCUUCGAUGGAUAGGGGUUCUGAGAGGAAGGUCCCCCCACAUUGGAACUGAGACACGGUCCAAACUCCUACGGGAGGCAGCAGUGAGGAAUAUUGGUCAAUGGACGAGAGUCUGAACCAGCCAAGUAGCGUGAAGGAUGACUGCCCUAUGGGUUGUAAACUUCUUUUAUACGGGAAUAAGUGAGGCACGCGUGCCUUUUUGUAUGUACCGUAUGAAUAAGGAUCGGCUAACUCCGUG